AAAAAAAUUUAUGUUGGCUCUAACCAACUUGGAUUACCUGAAAAAAACAGAAGCAAGUAUGACAGUCAAAGUUUAGUAUCAUUAUUUACUGCUCUUUAUAGUAGUUUUUAUUUAUUUAUUUUAUUAGGUAAAAGACCUUUUAAUAUCAUUCUUUUUGAAAAAGUGAAGGACACUUUAUCCUGUGUAAUGUAUAUAUAUAAUGUGUUUUAUUUAUCCCAACCACUCACACCAGCCAUCAGUACUACAGUCGUAUGAAGUAUGAGUUUAUUUUGAUGGUUCAUCAUCAAAAAAUGUUCUGGUAUUUCAUUUCAAAUCUGUGUUACCUGCUCUGUAUUUCAGCCAAAUCAUAGCAUUUCAGCAAAUGAUAGCGUCAUGUAAAGCAACCAUUUUGAAUGGCACUACUCAGUGUUACGCAGCUAUUACACUAUGAUCAGAGUCACGGUGUGAACAAGUGGUCUGAUAUCUCAUCAAUGCUAAAAUGUUCAGAAAGAGACUCGAAUCCCCUUUUUGAGUCCACUUGUAUUGUGAAAACCAAAAGCACAGAGGCCAUUUAACGCUAGUUCCCUUUCCGGACAAGACUGAGUAUGGCUCAGUGAAAAAGAUAUGCACUUGAAAUGUUUUGAGGGGCGCACGGUUCUUCUUAGUGGUUAGCAGGUUUGCCUCACACCUCCAUUGUCGGGGGUUCGAUCCCGGCUGCUGCCCUGUGUGUGUGGAGUUUGCAUGUUCUCCCCGUGCUGCGGGGGUUUCCUCUGGGUACUCCAGUUUCCUCCCCCAGUCUAAAGACAUGCUUAGAAUCUCCAAAAUGAAUGGGUGUGUGAAUGUGAGUGUGUAUGUGAUGGAUUGGCACCCCGUCCUGGGUGUGCCCCGUCUUGUGCCCGAUGCUCCCUGGGAUAGGCCCUAGGUUCCCCGCGACCCUGUAGGAUAAGCGGUAUAGAAGAUGGAUGGAUGGAUGGAUGUUUUCAAGCAGAAAGCCUAGUAGUAAAAUGUAAUACAAAGCGCUAAUACAGCCAGAGCACCAGAGGGCGCUGUUAGCUAGAGAUGUCAUCGCGUUAUCACCUCGCAGGCGGCGAGCAAAACAAUUUAAGGUCAUCUGUGAAUACUGUAGCAGCUAUUCUGCUAAUUAGCUAGCAGAGGUUUUAAAUAGCAAGUUGAGAGAUUUAAUAAACAUGAACAUAACCAUUUCUGCACUUCAGGUACUGACUCAUCAGUGAUACAGCAGGUUUCUCUCUUUAUGCUGCCUCCAUCUCCACCAUGGUGCGUCACAGUAAGCUUCAGAAACAGGUGUUAUCUCUGUACCGUCAGUUCCUGCGUGCUGGACAGGACAAACCUGGUUUUUUACCCAGAAUACGGGAGGAAUUUCGCACAAACGCUGCCAUCCAAAAGAAAGAUGUGAUGCAUAUAGAAUAUUUGUGUCGACGAGCCCAGAGGCAGUUGGAGCAACUUCGCGAUGUGAACACCAAACAGCUGGGUUUCUUCAGCAAGACCAAGGAGGGCAGCUGAUUUAAAAAUAAAUAAUUUAAAUUAUAUAUGUGUUUGUGUAAACUCUAUUUUGGUUUCAUCUGACCAUAGAACCCGAUCCCAUUUGAAGUUCCAGUAGUGUCUGGCAAACUGAAGGUGCUCGAGUUUGUUUUUGGAUGAGAGUAGAGGCUUUUUUCUGGAAACCCUUCCAAACAACUUGUGGUGAUGUAGGUGACUUCGGAUUGUAGUUUUGGAGACUUUCUGACCCCAAGACACAACUAACUUCUGCAAUCCUCCAGCUGUGAUCCUUGGAGAUUUUUUGGCCACUCGUACCGUCCUCUUCACAGUGCGUUGAGACGAUAUAGACACACGUCCAAGUCCAGGUCGAUUCAUAACAUUUCCAGUUGACCGGAACUUCUUAAUUAUUGCCCUGAUGGUGGAAAUGGGCAUUUUCAAUUCUUGUGCUAGUUUCUUAUAGACACUUCCCAUUUUGUGAAGCUCAACAACUUUUUGUUGCUAUAUAUCACAGCUAUAUUCUUUUGUCUUACCCAUUGUUUUGAAUGACUAAGGGAAUUUGGCCUGUGUGUUACCUCAUAUUUAUACCCCUGUGAAACAGGACGUCAUGGUUGAACAAUUUCCUGUUCCUAAAAUUUAAAAAAAUAUAAAUGGGAAAUUCAUAUAUAAAUCCAUAUCAUUGUUGCACACCUGUAUUUAACAAAGAUAGGGUGUCAGCUAGAUGCUGUAAAUGUAAAUACGUACAGCCCUGCUGGAAAAUAAAUAGAUACCAUCACAGAAAUUCUAAGGUUUCCACUACAAAUAACAUUACAAAACAUCAGCUAACCAUUAAAACCAUUAACAUUGUUGGUCCUUAAUGAGAUCCACUAGACAUAACAUUCCACCAAUAGAAGGCAACAAAUUACCAGUAGAGACCCACAGCGACCAUUACAGUUUCCAAUAAAACCAAUACAAUUCCCAUUAUAACCAUUAAAAUUUCUAUGAGGGUUUCUAUUGUUGUUUUUUUCAGCAAGGAGUCGGAUCCAUAAGCAUUUGGAUAGUGUCAAUUUGCGUGUUUUUUUUUUGUGUGUGGGGGUAUUUUAUUUUAUUUAUUUUUUAAAAUUUGUAAUCAUUUUUUAAAAGAAACAAUCAAGAUGUGAUUGAAGUGUAGACUUUCAGCUUUAAUUCAAGGGCUUUAACAAAGACAUUGCAUUAACCAUUUAGGAACUACAGGCCAACUUCAUUCCCUCCAUUUCCACAGGCUCAAAAGUAAUUGGACAAUUCAAAAUUGGCCAACAGUUUCCUUGUUAUUUUAUGAGAUAAAAGGUCUGGAGUCCAUUCCAAGCAUUUAAUUUGGUAGCUGUUCAUGGGAACUCUCGAUAUGUGGUCCAAAGAGAUGUCGAUGCAAGUGAAGGAGGGCAUAAUUAGACUGAAGAAACAACAACAAAACGAAACAUAUAGGACAUUUUUCUUUUUAUUUCGUGUCCGCGAUAUAAUGCACUAAUCGAUUGGAGCCACUAGGGGGCACUGAUGCCUGACCGACGCUGUUAAAACUCGACAACAGAGAAAGCAGUCAGUGUAAACAGGAAGUGAACUAGGAAGCAGAAAAAAAAAUGGCGGAGUCGAGAAAGACAAGCAGCGAGAUGACAGACGCUCAGUUAAUUCAGCAGUUAGCGCUGCUCGGCUGGCUGAACACCGACAGUGUGGAGUGUAAACAGUUCCUCACAGCCGUUACUGGCAUGCAGCUGGCCCGAGAAGUCCUUAAUCGAUUAUCAGGUCAAGGAAAAGUGGACGCUUACAGGAACGAUUGCAUCCAGAGUGUGGCGGAUUUCGUGAGGAGGAACCCCAGAGCCUCUGAUCGGGAGCUGAACGCCGAGGUGAAGAAGAACGUGCUUCUCUUCGCCUCUAGAGUGCAGGCUUUAGACUCCUCACCUCUCUUCUGAACACAGAAAUACUGUGAGACUGUGACUUCAGUCUCUCCUCCUCACCCUGCCUUACACUUGUUAGAUUUGACUAAAUAUGUAUAAGUAUAUGAUUCCUUUUUUUUUUUUUUUUUUUUUUUUUUUUUUUUUUAUAAAUGAUGUAUGAAAUAAUAUUCCUGCUUGAAUGUCGUUUUUAAUCACUUCAUUUGUUUAGGCUUGAUAAUAUAAUUGCUAGGUUUACACAAACAUUAACGAACUGAAUAAAGUCUGUCUUCUAAUGCACCUACGUGCACUUAAAGCUUUCUUUAUGUGCAUUGUUUUUCAGAAUGUCUUCACAAACUAUUAAGUAAGGAUAUUUUAUAUUCAUUUAUACCACAGUGCUGUUGAAUUCUGGCUUCCGGUGUUGAUUAUUUUAUUUUAAGUGCAGUUCUGACAACAGUGCCGCUGGAAAUCACAGGUUUUAUAUUAAUGCCCUCGUUCUAAUAUGUUACUGUUUCUAUAGUAACUGCUCAUUAACAAGGACUUGUAUUGAGGACGUGCCACAAACAUAUAUUUUUUUAAAAUAAAAAUAAGACGUGCUAUUUAA